CCCGGCCUGGACGGCGGAGCGGUCCGCGCCGCUACUGACGGCGUAGGCCUGCGAGACGCCGGUCGCGCCGACGGCCAGCGC
rnacentral:tRNA from 1 species